rnacentral:tRNA from 2 species
GCCGACGUAGCUCAGUUGGUAGAGCAGGGCACUUGUAAUGCCCAGGUCGUCCGUUCGAAUCGGAUCGUCGGCUCCA